rnacentral:lncRNA from 1 species
GGCCGGGGCGGGGGGGGGGUCCUCCGGGAGGGGGGUGGCGCUGCGGGGUGCCACGCGUGGGGGUAAGCUGGCAGCGGGGCGCGCCGGCAGGGGUCGUGCCGGGGGGCGCCCACAGGAGGGGCUUGGCAGCCCGCGGGGGCUGGGACGGCGGUGGGGCAGGGGCCCCGGAGCUGGGCCCUCGAGGAGCCGUGAGGCGACCCAGGCCCAAAGCAACGGCGCCAGGUGGCUGCUGGGGGGGGGGAGGGCUUGCCACUGUCAGGAGGCUCCCCUGAGCCCACCGCCCACCUCUGCCAGCCGGGCACAACAGGAGGCCCUGGAGCAGCCUGAGGGGGGACAGAGCUCCCCAGGAUUCCUGGGACGAGCAGAGUGCUGGGGUACACGCGGUGAGGAUGCCUGGGUCUGCUCCUGCCUGCAGUCCUUCACCAGGGAGAAGCUCCAGAGGCACCCAGGCAAAAGGCAGCGCUACAGGAACAGCCUCUGUGUGUUGCAGCAGCCAUAUGUCAGCCAGGCAUUAUCAUCCCAGCAAAACUCUGCCCCUGUUCCCUGGGAAAUGUCCACUCAUCACGAGUCAGUGCCAUGACAGAGACCUCAGGGAGACAGUUCCUGAACUGCACUAUUCCCCCUUCUUGGCGGGGCAGGGGGAGAAAUGAAGAUUAUAAAGCUGGUAGCUUGCAGUACGUAUGUGGAGGUCGCUCACUACCAUCACGGGCAAAACUGACUUGGCUUGGGGAAGAUGGACUUCCCCAACCGCACUCCUGACUCUUCGACCUCCCUCCCCCAAGCGGUGCAGGGGAAUGGGGGUGACAGUCAGCUCAUAACCCUUUGUCUCUGCUGCCCCUUCUUCCCUCAGCUCUCCCCCUGCUCCAGCACGAGUUCUCUCCACAGGCCUGUUCCUGUGGUGGCUCUUCGGGGGCUGCAGCCUUCUUCAGGCAAGAGCCACGGGCCGUGCAAGUGCUCGGGGGACACAGAAGGGGUCCCCUGCAGUGCUCCCACCACCCCAACAGGGGCACAUCGCUGCCCACUGGCUUGUGCCCCGUGCAGCCAUUUCGAGCUUUUUUUUUUUUUUUUUUUGCUGUCGCACCACAGCUUUUUUUGUCAGGUGAAUUCGGUCUUGCUGGAUUCUUGCGGUUCUUCCCUGCCGCCCGCUUCCGCUCAGCGCUGCCCUCAGCUCCGACGAGGGGACGUGACCUCCCCGGGGCCGCCGAGAGCCCCGCGCCAGGCCCCGCUGGGGGUGCUCGGGGCCGAGCCGGGCCGAGCCCCCCGAGGCAGUGCUGGGGCGCGGCGCCCUCUGGCGGCCGCGGCGAAACCCUGCGGAGGCGCCGAGCGGGGCCCGUCCGGCUCCAAGGCGGUGGCCACGGGCACCGGGCUCAGCCCCCGGGCCGCGCAGCCCGGUGCCCGUCCCCCGGCCCGUCCCCCUCCAUGUCUCGGGGUGGGGCGCCUCCGGAGCAGGGACAUGAGCGGCAGGGCCCGGCCCCUAGCAGCGGGCUCUGUGACGAGGCAAAGGGACCUUUGUACGGGGCCCUCUGACGAGCAGCCGGGAUGUGAGGCCUCUGCUUCGCACAGCUGCAUCCAGAGCCUGCAAGGCUUCUCCUGCAGGUGUGUGGAGGAGAGCAGGGUGCUCAGGAGCCCAUGGCAGGGCUUGGCCAGCAGCCCUUCUCCUGCCAGCCUUGUCCCAGCUUUGAGCAGCAUCUGA